rnacentral:rRNA from 1 species
UAGGGAAUCUUCCGCAAUGGACGCAAGUCUGACGGAGCAACGCCGCGUGAGUGAAGAAGGAUUUCGGUUCGUAAAACUCUGUUGUUAGAGAAGAACAGCGCAUAGAGUAACUGUUAUGCGUGUGACGGUAUCUAACCAGAAAGCCACGGCUAACUACGUGCCAGCAGCCGCGGUAAUACGUAGGUGGCAAGCGUUGUCCGGAUUUAUUGGGCGUAAAGCGAGCGCAGGCGGUCAAUUAAGUCUGAUGUGAAAGCCCCCGGCUCAACCGGGGAGGGUCAUUGGAAACUGGUUGACUUGAGUGCAGAAGAGGAGAGUUGAAUUCCAUGUGUAGCGGUGAAAUGCGUAGAUAUAUGGAGGAACACCAGUGGCGAAGGCGACUCUCUGGUCUGUAACUGACGCUGAGGAUCGAAAGCGUGGGUAGCAAACAGG